rnacentral:tRNA from 2 species
GCAGACAUGGUCUAAUAAAGACGUUAGAUUGUGAUUCUAAAAAUAGAGGUUAAACCCCCCUUGUCCGCC